rnacentral:rRNA from 1 species
ACGAACGCUGGCGGCGUGCCUAAUACAUGCCAGUAGAACGCUGAAGGAGGAGCUUGCUUCUCUGGAUGAGUUGCGAACGGGUGAGUAACGCGUAGGUAACCUGCCUGGUAGCGGGGGAUAACUAUUGGAAACGAUAGCUAAUACCGCAUAAUAGUAGAUGUUGCAUGACAUUUGCUUAAAAGGUGCAAUUGCAUCACUACCAGAUGGACCUGCGUUGUAUUAGCUAGUUGGUGGGGUAACGGCUCACCAAGGCGACGAUACAUAGCCGACCUGAGAGGGUGAUCGGCCACACUGGGACUGAGACACGGCCCAGACUCCUACGGGAGGCAGCAGUAGGGAAUCUUCGGCAAUGGACGGAAGUCUGACCGAGCAACGCCGCGUGAGUGAAGAAGGUUUUCGGAUCGUAAAGCUCUGUUGUAAGAGAAGAACGAGUGUGAGAGUGGAAAGUUCACACUGUGACGGUAUCUUACCAGAAAGGGACGGCUAACUACGUG